UGCAAGCGUUAUCCGGAUUCACUGGGUUUAAAGGGUGCGUAGGCGGAUAGGUAAGUCCGUGGUGAAAUCCUGCAGCUUAACUGCAGAACUGCCAUGGAUACUAUCUAUCUUGAAUGUCGUGGAGGUUAGCGGAAUAUGUCAUGUAGCGGUGAAAUGCUUAGAGAUGACAUAGAACACCCAUUGCGAAGGCAGCUAACUACGCGAUAAUUGACGCUGAUGCACGAAAGCGUGGGGAUCAAACAGG
rnacentral:rRNA from 1 species